UACAGAGGGUGCGAGCGUUAAUCGGAAUUACUGGGCGUAAAGCGCGCGUAGGCGGCUUUGCAAGUCGGGUGUGAAAUCCCCAGGCUUAACCUGGGAACUGCAUUCGAGACUGCAUUGCUAGAGUAUGGGAGAGGGAAGUGGAAUUUCCGGUGUAGCGGUGAAAUGCGUAGAUAUCGGAAGGAACAUCAGUGGCGAAGGCGGUUACCUGGAGCUUUGCUGACGCUGAUGCGCGAAAGCGUGGGGAGCGAUCCGG
rnacentral:rRNA from 1 species